AAUUAACUAUUUGAGGCCCAACUUCGGUAAAUCCCCCCUCUCUAAAGUCUAAACACCUCCCUCUGUUCCAAUCAAUAAACAGACGUACCCCAUUUUACCGGAUUUUGAUAAAUUUUCACCAGAUUUUGAACUGAAGGUCUCUUGUUAUCUAUUCUCGCCAUUUAUACAUCAAAACUGUAAGGUUACUAUAUGUUAUAUAAUCGAUGAUCGUUAAAAGAUUUUGUACCUCUCUAUCUCGUUCUGAGAUCAACCCAAUUUGCAAUCCGGGUAAAUUGUGUAAUUUCCUUUCAAACCCACAAAAAAUUCGCAUAGUUUUGUGUCAAAAUCAGCCCAAAUUGAGUCUACAAAGACCAAAUUUUGUUACCCACAAAUUGUAUUCAUCAAAUUCCCGAAUGGGUGAUGCACGGCGAGCAGCUGCAGUGCCCAUACCGGAUAUCAACAAGGCAGACAGGUCCGAGCUGCUUUGCGCCCUCGAAACCUCGUUGGGUUCGUCGUUCAGCUCGGAGCCGUUGUUGCCUCCACCGAACCCUUUGAUUGUAGUGAUUAGUGGGCCAAGUGGGGUUGGCAAGGAUGCAGUGAUUAAGAGAUUGAGGGAGGUGAGAGAAAACAUACAUUUUGUUGUAACCGCCACUAGUAGACCGAUGAGGCCGGGCGAAGUUGAUGGCAAAGACUAUUACUUUGUGACAAAGGAGGAAUUUGUGUCAAUGGUGGAGAAGGAACAGCUUUUGGAGCAUGCUUUGGUGUAUGGGGAUUAUAAGGGCAUUCCAAAGCAGCAAAUUAGGGAGUUUAUGGGUAGAGGUUGUGACAUUGUGUUAAGGGUUGAUAUUCAGGGGGCCGCCACAUUGAGAAAAAUUCUUGGGAAUUCUGCUGUUUUCAUAUUUGUGGUAGCCGAGAGUGAAUAUGCUAUGGUGAAUAGGUUGAUUGGGAGGAAGACGGAGACGAGAGAGAUGCUUUUAGUGAGGAUUGCUACUGCUCGUGAAGAAGUUAAGCAUGCUCAGAAUUUUGAUUAUGUGGUUGUUAAUGCUGAGGGGGAGCUUGAGAGUGCAGUGAAGCUGGUGGAAUCUAUAAUUGAUGCAGAGAAGGCUAAAGUCCGUCAAAGGAAUGUGAGGAUAUAGCCUAUGCAGGCUAAUCUUUUUGUUUUUCUUAAUGAGGAGGAGGUUCAGACACAACUUUUUACCACUUAUCUUACUAACUGUGAGCAAAGAGACACUAUUGUGAAGUAACUUAAACUCAUAUGAACAUGACUUUUUCUUUUUGAGGUAAUGAAUACGUAUUUGGAGUAUGAUUAGCAAAGCUUGAGGAUUAGGAGCACUUAGAAAGAAGCUACAAUGCAUAAAGAUCGUAUGGAUAUGUCAUAGUACGAGUUUGAGCGAAAACAAGUGGAAGAUCAUUAGAAGAAAUGUGGAAAAAAAGUCACGUCUACUCUUCUGACCAUAAGUUUUGAUGUGCUUCUUAUAAUCAAAUAACUUCAGCAGAUCUGGAAACUAAGCUUGAAGAGCUUUCCAACGAUAGGUGGCACACCCCGAGGAGACUUCUAGUCAAGAAGUUAUGCCUUUUUGAAGUUGGACUGUUUUUGCUAUAAUCUGUUUUUGUACGCACGGAUCACUAAUUCCGCCCAUUUAAUGAUAAUGAUUUUCCUUAUUUUUGUGACUUA